GACGAACGCUGGCGGCGUGCCUAAUACAUGCAAGUCGAGCGGACUGAUGGGAGCUUGCUCCUGAUGUUAGCGGCGGACGGGUGAGUAACACGUGGGCAACCUGCCUGUAAGACUGGGAUAACUCCGGGAAACCGGGGCUAAUACCGGAUAACCCGUUCCACCUCAUGGUGGAACGGUAAAAGAUGGCCUCUGGCUAUCACUUACAGAUGGGCCCGCGGCGCAUUAGCUAGUUGGUAAGGUAACGGCUUACCAAGGCAACGAUGCGUAGCCGACCUGAGAGGGUGAUCGGCCACACUGGGACUGAGACACGGCCCAGACUCCUACGGGAGGCAGCAGUAGGGAAUCUUCCGCAAUGGACGAAAGUCUGACAGAGCAACGCCGCGUGAGUGAUGAAGGUUUUCGGAUCGUAAAGCUCUGUUGUUAGGGAAGAACAAGUGCCGUUUGAAUAAGGCGGCACCUUGACGGUACCUAACCAGAAAGCCACGGCUAACUACGUGCCAGCAGCCGCGGUAAUACGUAGGUGGCAAGCGUUGUCCGGAAUUAUUGGGCGUAAAGCGCGCGCAGGCGGGUCUCUUAAGUCUGAUGUGAAAGCCCACGGCUCAACCGUGGAGGGUCAUUGGAAACUGGGAGACUUGAGUACAGAAGAGGAGAGUGGAAUUCCACGUGUAGCGGUGAAAUGCGUAGAUAUGUGGAGGAACACCAGUGGCGAAGGCGACUCUCUGGUCUGUAACUG
rnacentral:rRNA from 1 species